CACACCUCUCUGCAUCUUCCAACUGCAAACGCCGUGGGCCGGGAGUGGGUCAGAGCGCACAGAGGGCGGGGUCUCCGCACGUCUGAUCCAGCGUCCUUCGAGUCUUUGGUUUUCUGAGCCCCCAGCCUGGCCCAGGUACAGAACCUGGGGGACGUUUGCUGGCAUCCGUCGGUGGCCUCUCCCAGGUACCUGCUGUCCUAGGCAGACCCGUGUCAGGGCCGUCCUGACGUUGUCGCAGGCUGGACUUGUCGCUCCGACAAGCAUUGUCACGGGCCACGGGAGUAGCCGCUUCAAGGCUGGUAAGAGAUAUGCAGUUCUUGGUGGACACAGAUGUUACUGUGGCUCACUGGUCAUUGGGGGUGUUUUCCUGAUAACAAGGGUGCAUUUGUCCCCAUCUGUUCACACUCUUACAGCAGAAGUAGGAGAGGCGGAAGUAAGGGGACGUGCCCUUCCAACUUGGGUUGUCGCACGUCUGUGGCUGGGAAGCGGAAUGGAGACCCGACCCUCUAGAAGGUGCAGCGGGAGGCAGGGCAGAGGAACAGAGGGGCGCAGGAAACGGGUGCUUGCUUGCCAGCGCGGUUCUCGCACCCAGACGGGGCCCAGAAGAGAGGCGCUCGGUCGUCGUCGGCGUGGACUCGAAGGUGGCCUGACUCGCCCUCCGGCCCCUCGCUGCCUCCACCUGCUCGCUCGUUCGUUUCUGCAUCUGUGCGCUCGCACGUCUUUUGUCAGACCUUCCCUAGGCCAGGGACUCCACUGCCUUUGAUCCAGAACGCCCCCCUCCAGGCUCCUGUCCCCAGUCCGCAUGAGGAAGACUAGUUUUCACCUUUGCCAAACUGCUUGAGAAUAACAAAGAUGGAAACAAAGAUGGGCUGGCCUUCUAACAACCAAAGCGCCCUGCCCAUAAUCCAUCCCCUGGGGAUCAAAGGGCCCCCUGGGCCGCGUGUGACCUAUCUGUUGCUCCCCACCACCCCCGCCCCCAGCCCUGGGGGUCUCCGGGACUCUGUCCCACAUCUUCCUCUGGAAGCCCGGUGAGAUCGGGCCCUGCCCUCUGAUGACACAUGACACGGGAGCUCCUUCUGGAAGACCGUCAUCAGACACAGCCAAGUGUCCCUACAGACAAAACCAGAAUCACUUUGAACUUGUUGUUUUGAGGCUGGUCCUUUCAAAGGGGCGGCAGGGCCCCCACAGGGGGUGCCCCAAGCAGGUGCCCUGCGCACCGUGACAUCCGCCAGCGUGGCUGUGACCCCACAGUCCUCCCUCGGUUGCUGGGAUACUCACAGGCUUGGUGACUGGAUUCUCCACACAGGGCGGUGCCCCAGAGCUUGCCCCCCAGACGGGGUCUGGCCCUGCUGCCCCGUCUCUGACCCAGGGAUCUCCUCGGCCCCCGCCGGGGGGCCGCGCCUCGUUCCCUUUCCAAUGACGUUUGCUCCUUGGGGGUCAUGGUUAAUGCUUGCAGCUGGCACAGUGAGUUAAUUACAGCAAAUCAUAAAAUAGCCUUUAAAUGGGCUGCCCCCCGGGUAAGCCGGUGGGCCAGGGAAUGUGUUCCGCAGCUCACUCGUUGGGGGGUCGGGUGGGGCAGGGGGCAGGGGUGAGUUUCCAAGUCGGAUUUAAUAAGUGAGUGAUUAGUCUUUUUCCCAGAAAGAGGGGCCUUUUCCGUCUGCCUCGACCAGCUACUCAGACCUUGCAGGAAGAAUCCUUACCAUUCGUGGAGCUAUUACUGUGUACUUUGUUUAUUUUCUUUAAUUCUAAUCAUUCCAUCCUUG
rnacentral:lncRNA from 1 species